rnacentral:piRNA from 1 species
UGCCGUGGUUUGAUGAGGUUGAUGCC